UCCAGUAAAACAACCUGGACAAAUAAUUAAAUCCAGUCGCCGUUCAGUUAUAAACGACAGUCGAUAAUGAAUAAUCAUUAAUGUUGUAAAAAAUUUCAUCUAAAUCUAACAUUUGUUUUAGAAUACAAAUGUAAACAACAAUAGUCCCGUACGUAGAACCGAGGUCACUAGCACCGGUUUUAUGUUUGCUAAACAAUUAAUUGAUGCAGAGAUUGACUCCUGAAAUUAGUAAUCCAUACUUCACGAAUUCACCCAUAACCUCAUCAAAUGGUGACAAGUUCAGAUUAAUCAUAUCAAAUGAGUUGUUUGAAUUCAUUAAAAUACAUUAUACAAUAAAUUAAUUGACUCAAUAGUAAUGGUUUCCAGCGAUACAAUCUGGACACAUAAAUAAACACAGUAUUCAAUAUCAACAGCCAACGAUAAUUUGAUAACACAUCACUACAAUAAUCAAUAAUUCCCGUACUUAGAACCCAAACCACUAGCGCCGGUUUUAUGUAUUGAGAACAAUGGAUCAAUGGAGAGGUUAACACCUAUAAUAAGUACCUCAUAUUCCAUAAUCAUUCCAACUUAUCAAAUGCUGAUAAUUAAAGUUUAACAUUAUCGAAUUAAAUGUUAGAACAAGAAUCUGAUGUGCGAUUGGAUUAUACAGUAGAGCAUAUAACUACUGAAUGCCAAAAAUACGAAGACACGAGAAAAAAAUACCACAUAUCACAACAGAUCGGAGAAGCGCUGAGAUCUAACCCUCAAUCAACCACCAACAUCAUACCAUUCAUAAAAUAAAUUGAACUAUGCAACUUAAUUUAAGACAUACUCGUACAAUAACAUUA